GUGAGGAAUAUUGGGCAAUGGGCGAAAGCCUGACCCAGCAACGCCGCGUGGAGGAUGAAGGCCCUUGGGUUGUAAACUCCUUUUCUGGGGGAAGAGCAAGGACGGUACCUCAGGAAUAAGUCACGGCUAACUACGUGCCAGCAGCCGCGGUAAUACGUAGGUGGCGAGCGUUAUCCGGAAUUACUGGGCGUAAAGCGCACGCAGGUGGCGAGUCAAGUCUGACGUGAAAGCUCUUGGCUUAACUGGGAGAGGUCGUUGGAAACUGGCUGGCUAGAGGCAAUGAAAAGGGUGCGGAAUUCCCGGUGUAGUGGUGGAAUGCGUAGAUAUCGGGAGGAACACCAGUGGCGAAAGCGGCACCCUGGCAUUGUCCUGACGCUCAUGUGCGAAAGCGUGGGGAGCGAACGGGAUUAGAAACCCGGGUAGUCC
rnacentral:rRNA from 1 species